CCUACGGGCGGCUGCAGUGGGGAAUAUUGGACAAUGGGGGGAAUCCUGAUCCAGCCAUGCCGCGUGUGUGAAGAAGGCCCUCGGGUUGUAAAGCACUUUCAGUGAGGAAGAACGCCUGGUGGUUAAUACCCAUCAGGAAAGACAUCACUCACAGAAGAAGCACCGGCUAACUCCGUGCCAGCAGCCGCGGUAAUACGGAGGGUGCGAGCGUUAAUCGGAAUUACUGGGCGUAAAGCGCGCGUAGGUGGCUUGAUAAGCCGGUUGUGAAAGCCCCGGGCUCAACCUGGGAACGGCAUCCGGAACUGUCAAGCUAGAGUGCAGGAGAGGAAGGUAGAAUUCCCGGUGUAGCGGUGAAAUGCGUAGAGAUCGGGAGGAAUACCAGUGGCGAAGGCGGCCUUCUGGACUGACACUGACACUGAGGUGCGAAAGCGUGGGUAGCAAACAGGAUUAGAUACCCUAGUAGUC
rnacentral:rRNA from 1 species